GAUGGUGGGGAGGAGGGGG
rnacentral:miRNA from 1 species